rnacentral:rRNA from 1 species
AUUGAACGCUGGCGGCAGGCCUAACACAUGCAAGUCGAACGAGUGGCGGACGGGUGAGUAAUGUCUGGGAAACUGCCUGAUGGAGGGGGAUAACUACUGGAAACGGUAGCUAAUACCGCAUACCAUCGGAUGUGCCCAGAUGGGAUUAGCUUGUGGGUGGGGUAACGGCUCACCAAGGCGACGAUCCCUAGCUGGUAUGAGAGGAUGACCAGCGACACUGGAACUGAGACACGGUCCAGACUCCUACGGGAGGCAGAAGUGGGGAAUAUUGCACAAUGGGCGCAAGCCUGAUGCAGCCAGGCCGCGUGUAUGAAGAAGGCCUUCGGGUUGUAAAGUACUUUCAGCGGGGAGGCGUGACCCGCAGAAGAAGCACCGGCUAACUCCGUGCCAGCAGCCGCGGUAAUAC